rnacentral:rRNA from 1 species
UACGAAGGGGGCUAGCGUUGCUCGGAAUCACUGGGCGUAAAGGGUGCGUAGGCGGGUUUUUAAGUCAGAGGUGAAAUCCUGGAGCUCAACUCCAGAACUGCCUUUGAUACUGGGAAUCUUGAGUAUGGAAGAGGUGAGUGGAACUGCGAGUGUAGAGGUGAAAUUCGUAGAUAUUCGCAAGAACACCAGUGGCGAAGGCGGCUCACUGGUCCAUAACUGACGCUGAGGCACGAAAGCGUGGGGAGCAAACAGGAUUAGAUACCCGGGUAGU